rnacentral:rRNA from 1 species
UGCAGAAUCCCGCGAACCAUCGAGUCUUUGAACGCAAGUUGCGCCCGAGGCCAUUCGGCCGAGGGCACGCCUGCCUGGGCGUCACGCAAAACACGCUCCCACCCCCUCAUCGGGGAGCGGGACGCGGCAUGUGGCCCCCCGUCGCUCAAGGGGCGGUGGGCCGAAGAUAUGGCUGCCGGUGUAUCGUGCCGGACACAGCGCGUGGUGGGCGACCUCGCUUUACUUCCGCAGUGCAUCCGACACGUAGCCGACGUGAUUGCCUCGAAGGACCCUAUGAACGGUGCGCACGACGCUCCGACCGCGACCCCAGGUCAGGCGGGACUACCCGCUGAAUUUAAGCAUAUAAAUAAGCGGAGGAGAAGAAACUUACAAGGAUUCCCCUAGUAACGGCGAGCGAACCGGGAACAGCCCAGCUUGAGAAUCGGGCGGCCUUGCUGUCCGA